rnacentral:misc_RNA from 1 species
AGCUAUAAACAUUCUGUUUUUUUGGAGUCCUAGCUCUAUCUGAAAGUUGUGUGAUUUUUCUUUUGUUACUUCUUAUAGCCUUAUCUUCAUGAAUCUCGUCAUUUACAUGCUAUGAGAAGGGCAAGAGGUUGUGGAGGCCGCUUUGUGAACACUAAGAAGCUUGAUAAUAGUGCUGCUAACACCACACCUGAUAUCGUCAGCAACUUUAGUGAAACUGUUCCAAAACCUCCCACCUGCUCAUCACUGGCUCACUCUUCUAAGGAUUCUCAUCCAUCAUCAGCAGGUAAUGAUGCGGUAAUAGAACCCCAUUUACAUAAAAAGGAACAGACCUAUACUAGUGAUAAUGGUAAUAGAACCCCAUUUACAUAAAAAGGAACAGACCUAUACUAGUGAUAAUGGUAAUGACAAUGGAUGCUACCAAUACUUUCUUGGAUUUCAAUUGUCUUCAUAUCACUCUCAAUCAGAUAGGAUGGUGGAAAAAAGGGACUGUAACAUGAAAGAAAUAUGGUGAUUCUGGUGUCACGCAUAGGCAUCACCAGCACUAAACCUUCCUUGGAAUCCAAAGGUUUUCGAUGAUUGCUUUAUGUGCUAAAUCUCCGUUUUACCUUUCAGUUUGUUGGGCACAUACUACUGGUGCUACUUCAUGCUCGUUUGCUUCCUGUAGAAGAUGUUUUCUUUCUUACUGAUUGGGGAUUGUUUAUGGUUGGCAAAGGUGGAAGUAUCAACCUUGGUCAUAUGUAGAGGAUCCAGGGUAUAUGUAUUUGGAUUUAUAUAUUUGUGCUUGCAGGCAACUCAUCCUUGGCUUAUAGAAAGGUAUAUUUCUAGUUUUGCUUGUGUUUUCUUUUACCUGUAUAUAUGGUGGAGGCUGUAGAAGAAGGUGAGGACAUGUAGUUAUAUAUUGAAACUUUUUGGUACAGAUGGUAAUCAAAGUAAGUGAACCGAGUGUGGCUUGAACUUAAUUACCUAAGUUUAGAAAGAGGAGA